UUUUCCCCUGACACCCAAAAGUACUCGUUACAUUUAUCGUUCUCAAGCAGGACAGCAAUAUGGUCCAAUUCACCCACUUAUCGAGAGAAAGGUGUUGUUAUCCCCACUGCCUCUGAUCUGGUGCACUCCACUAAGCACACACCGUGCGUUUAUAAAUUACUUCUGAGUGUUGGAGUGUGCCCCCCGGCUAUCCGUAAAUUAAAAAACUUAAGAGAAUAUCAUGCCGUCGGGAAUUUGAUUUAUAGCCUUUUUACUUUAUCCUAACAGUUUAGUACUUUUCCCACCAUUGUACUUAAAGUACAUUUAAAACCAGAUACUUUUACUCGAGUCAUUUUCUAUUAAGGUAUCUUUACUUUGACUCAAAUAGGACAUUGGAGUAGUUGUUCCUGCUAUAAACUCACUAUUAUGUUUUAUGAUUUAAAAAAAUAAAAUAAACAAAGAAGAUACAUAUCGGCGUUGUAAUUGUUUUUUGUAUAAUUAAUUGCAUUGACAUUUUAUUGAUAAAGAUAUGCAGACAAUUUGACUAUUAAAGGAGAUACUAUUUAAACGGAUUCGACCGUACGUAUUGUUCUUCGUGAAGACCCUUUUUUUUGUCAGAAACAAUCCUCGUGCUUUAGGUCUGCGCUGUGUUGUGAGUCACUGUUUUCCGUCUGUAGGUUUACCCCAUUGACAUCCAUCCAUUUGUUUAUGUGGUGUGUAGGUUCAUCUCUUAGAUGAAUUGUAGAUGGGACAAGAAGGGAGUAUGAUAUUCCUUACACAUUUACUCCGAAUGAGUGUUUGAAACAUGUGGUGGAGAUAUUUUCAAGUCUCAUGUACUGCAGGAUGAUCUUUUUUUUUUAGGCCUUUGUUAUCUUUACAAAUUAAUUCCUUAAUUAAAUGUACUUGGAAUAAACGUUUAAUUACUAAUUCCCUCUAAUAACUCUCUCUAUCGUGAUGUGAGAAAAGCCAAACAAAACAUCAUUUCAAUGAAUCUUAUUAUUACAUUGUGACUUCCUUCUUACGAGGCUUGUUACUGUGUCCCAGUGAGACCCCCCUCGGCCCUGUUCUUUGUGUUACAACGGGUACGGUGUCUUUUUUGGCCCUAUGAUUGUCUAAGGCUGUGCUAACUGUCUGUGGCUAGUUCAUCUGUUCACAUACAAACAAGUGGCGGUAUAGGAGCAUAUUGUUAUCCAGUAGGGCUGAAGGAUGUACCAUCAUCACCAAGCCCCAACCAAGGUAGAGAGGAGGUCUGAACCCAUACUGAAGGCUGUAUGGUCAUCACCAAGCCCUAACCAAGGUAGAGAGGAGGUCUGAACCCAUACUGAAGGCUGUAUGGUCAUCACCAAGCCCUAACCAAGGUAGAGAGGAGGUCUGAACCCAUACUGAAGGAUGUACUGUCAUCACCAAGCCCUAACCAAGGUAGAGAGGGGGUCUGAACCAUA